rnacentral:rRNA from 1 species
UUCUUGGAUCGUCGCAAGACGAACUGCAGCGAAAGCGUUUGCCAAGUAUGUUUUCUUUAAUCAAGAACGAAAGUUAGAGGUUCGAAGGCGAUCAGAUACCGCCCUAGUUCUAACCAUAAACUAUGCCAUCUAGCGAUCCGCUGUGUGUCUUAGAUGUCACGGCGGGCAGCCCCCGGGAAACCGAAGAUUUUGGGUUCCGGGGGAAGUAUGGUUGCAAAGCUGAAACUUAAAGGAAUUGACGGAAGGGCACCACCAGGUGUGGGGCCUGCGGCUUAAUUUGACUCAACGCGGGGUAUCCUACCAGGCCCGGACACUCGAAGGAUUGACAGAUUGAGAGCUCUUUCUUGAUUGGGUGCGUGGUGGUGCAUGGCCGUUCUUCGUUGGUGAGGCGACUUGUCUGCUUAAUUGCGAUAACGAACGAGACUCUAGCCUGCUAACUAGUCGGUACCGGCAUCCUAUGUGCAGCCGGCGACAAUAUAUCUUCUUAGAGGGACAAGUGGUAUCUAGCCACACGAGAUUGAGCAAUAACAGGUCUGUGAUGCCCUUAGAUGUUCUGGGCCGCACGCGCGCCACACUGAAGGAAUCAGCGUGUGUAAUUCCUUGCCUGAGAAGGUCGGGUAACCCGGUGAAAUCCCUUCGUGCUAGGGAUUGGGGCUUGAAAUUUUUCCCCACGAACGAGGAAUACCUAGUAAGCGCGAGUCAUAAUCUCGCGUUGAUUAUGUCCCUGCCCUUUGUCCACACCGCCCGUCGCUACUACCGAUUGAAUGAUUUGGUGAGGUCUCCGGACUCGUGCGCGGCUCUCGGUACUUGUAUCGAGAAUCGAUGUCGCGGGAAAGUUGACCGAACUUGAUUAUUU